rnacentral:rRNA from 1 species
CAGCCGCCACGGUAAUACGUAGGUGGCAAGCGUUGUCCGGAAUUAUUGGGCGUAAAGCGAGCGCAGGCGGUUAGAUAAGUCUGAAGUUAAAGGCUGUGGCUUAACCAUAGUACGCUUUGGAAACUGUUUAACUUGAGUGCAGAAGGGGAGAGUGGAAUUCCAUGUGUGGCGGUGAAAUGCGUAGAUAUAUGGAGGAACACCGGUGGCGAAAGCGGCUCUCUGGUCUGUAACUGACGCUGAGGCUCGAAAGCGUGGGGAGCAAACAGGAUUAGAUACCCCCGUAGUCCCUGUCUCUUAUACA